rnacentral:lncRNA from 1 species
GAUGUGUGUUGUAUCGACCAGAAGCAAGACCAAAAGGGGAAAACCCUAGUUUUGAAGGAUUCUCAAGAUUAAGAGGAAAUUGAGAGCUCAAAUCAAUGCUAGAACCCGAAUUGUCAACCAUCUAAGCUCGAGCAACAAUAGGCGUGAAGGAAGAAAGCUCUAACACUAGUCAAGCGGGAGGUGUACAAGAUCGAGGUAAAGCACCUCUAUAGGCGAUAUGGAGAUAUGGAACGAGCACAUGUUCAAGCCUUAUAAUACCAAGCGCUUCCGCAACUUAUAUGCAUGUUUUUGGGUUUGAAAAUUUGUUAUUUUCGUUGGAAUGGUUUUAUGUAAAAUGGGUCGUAUGUAAACGUUGUAUGUUAUGUCAAAACAGGGGGUAUGUCCGUUUUGCAAACGGGUCAUGCCCAAUUUUUGUAAAAAUUUCUUUAAGUGUUAAAGUGGUA